UUAAAUUGCAGGGUUUGCC
rnacentral:piRNA from 1 species